rnacentral:rRNA from 1 species
UACGGAGGGAGCUAGCGUUGUUCGGAAUUACUGGGCGUAAAGCGCACGUAGGCGGCUUUGUAAGUUAGAGGUGAAAGCCCGGGGCUCAACCCCGGAAUUGCCUUUAAGACUGCAUCGCUUGAAUCCAGGAGAGGUGAGUGGAAUUCCGAGUGUAGAGGUGAAAUUCGUAGAUAUUCGGAAGAACACCAGUGGCGAAGGCGACUACCUGGCCUGUUCUUGACGCUGAGGCGCGAAAGCUAGGGGAGCAAACGGG